rnacentral:sRNA from 1 species
GCUGGGUGCGGUGGCGCAUGCCUGUAAUCCCAGCAGCUCAGGAGGCAGAGACAGGAGGAUGGCAAGUUCAAAGUCAGCCUCAGCAAAAGCAAGGAGCUAAGAAACUCAGUGAGACCCUAUCUCUA